ensembl:lncRNA
GAGGGGGAUGAUGAUGGAGGGAUCAGGGGGGGAGACAAGUGUGAAAGCCGUCGGUGUGUAAAGAAAAGAAGGAAGACGGAGCAGGACGGGGUUAUUGAAACAGAGUUAAAAGCAGUCGAGGCCAUUCUCCCUCCUCAUUUUUCACCUGAGUCAUCCUUUCUCUAAAGAGCCAACAGCACACACACACACACACACACACACGCACACGCACACACUCUUUUACACUCUCACACAUACACACACACUUUCACACACACACUUAUACAUACACACACAAAAUAACAUGAUUUGUAGACAAGAGAGAAAGGACAAGCUUUUAUUGAAUCUCAAUUUUCUCUUUUUCCUGCACCUGUUUCUUCUUUUUUCUUUCGAUCUUCUCUUCUGUUCUCUCUCUCCCUCUCUCUCUCUCUCUCUCUCUCUAAUUCUGUCUCUCUUUCUAUCUGUCUCUUUUGUUCUGUCUGUGUCUCUCUCUCUCUUUCUCCUUUUUUUCUGAUGCUUGAAUAGAAGUGGAUCAAAAAGGUUUUCAGAGUCUCCCUCAGACUAGAACAUCCUCAUCUUCCUCAUCUCUCUCUCUCUCUCUCUCUCUCUCUCUCGCCUCACGCUCUUCCUCUCCAUCACUGCCAUCGCUCUGCCUUUUAAUCCACACUCGUUCUGUCCAGCUUUGCUUCAUGCCUCAUGUGCGGGUCCAGAGGAGAGGCGAACCUUGUGAUUGCAACCGUGGGCUCAGGUCCAGGCUGCCUCAGUAGGCAGUGAUUUUGGGAAGCGUUUAAACUCCCGAGGUGAAACGCUGUCCUUUUUUGGACCGUUUCCUCCAACCGUUAAAGCUGCAGUAGGUAACUUUUGUCGAUUUGGAUCUGUAGAUCGAAAUGUGGAAGAAGAAGAAGAAGAAGAAAGUCAAAGAGUUUGUCUAGUCAGCGAGGUAAUGUGAGCCAACCCGAGAGGGAUAUUUGCGUUUGAGUUCUCUAAGAGCCCGAAGCCACGCCCAUCGAUUCCACACAGAGACCACGCCCAGUCUUCAAAACCAGAUUGUGAUGACGGUUGCGUUUCGUAGUGAAACUGUGGGCAAGUAGAGUCUAAGGAUGCGGCAUCAAUCGACGAUCCCGUACGAAUCCAAACCUGACCUCUCGGACUUUUUCACUUCCUCACGUUCGUCCGGGCGAGAUCGCGCGGUCAGUUACGGAGCUCGUGGGAAAGAAGAAAAGAAAGCGCACGUUCGUUAACGUGGGCGUUUACGGCCGCUGCGUGACACGUUCACUUAUUCGCUUUCGGUAACUGCUUUAUCCUGGGCAAGGUCAUGGUGGCUCAAGGUCAUGAGGGUUGAAGGUCAUGGGGGUUCAAAUGACUAAUGUGUUUACAUUUAGAGAAGCAGAUCAUCGUUACAUACUGCAGCUUUAAAGGUGUCGCUCAUUUAAACAGUUCUGCCGGCUAAUCGGAGCUUUCUGUCCCGAUAUGACAGUGUGUCAUAUUAGACCUAAACUGGGUACAAACUGGGUCGGGGUGGGAUUAAAACCAUCCCAGUUAAUAUACCCUCUAACCAGAUGCCACAUUUGCCCCCCCUCCCCCUCCCCACCCCUCCCCACCCCUCCUCUAGAUCUCAGUCCUGGCCCGUUUCCAAUCGCGCUAACCACCCAUGUGUUUGCAUAAUCUCCAUCCUGCCUCUCUAGCUCCGCUAAUGCGCAUACGUCCCAUUUAGACAUCUGUAUGCACCGGCGUAGAAACACUACUUCCUGUCUGUCUCGCUUUAAUCAGGCAUGUGGUGGAGGAUAAGCACUGUUACUUUAAAAUAAACAACCCACAAACACACACAUGCACGUAUACAGAACGGCUGAUCGUUUGCAUAACAUCAUCCUCUGUUUAACUUUAUCGCCUCCCCUGGCCACGCCCACUUUCUCUUCACGUCGCUCAGCCCCGUCCUGGCUGAUUCGUCGCACCACACGACCGCCGUGCGAGAUCCGUUUCCUGAAGGCCUCUAGUUCCUGAACAAGUUCCUGUGGGGAACUUUUUUCUUCUAUUUUUUUUUUCACACACACACACACACACACUACAUCCCUGUACUUCAUCCCUUCUUCCUGUUCUCCCUUCUGUCCUGCCUUGUCGCUUGAAUUAUUCCUCCGUCUUCCGAUCUGAUAACACACGUUGCCUUAAAGAUCGAUCGAUCGAUAGAUUAUAGACUCUGGGAAUGUGCUUCUGUACUCAGGACCUGUCACUGUUAGACAGCUAGUAACACACACACACACACACACACACACACACACACACACACGCACACGCACACACAAAUGCAUAAGCAGCUUUAUACUUCGCUUUCAUGUCCAUCUUUUAUGUAGGGCGCACCUGAGAAGGAUUGAUACGUACAACACACACACACACACACACACACACACACACACUGAGAGAGGAAGAGUUUUGCAUUUGUGUGCAUAUUGUUAAAGCAAAAAGGCUCAAGGGUACACAGGUGUUUAUGAAUUUUAAUGAGAGAGACUCAGAAACAGAUAGACCGCUCUGUACAUGAAGUACCAGAGAGAGAGAGAGUGAGAGAGAGAGAGAGAGAGAGAGAGCGAGAGAGAGCGAGAGAGAGAGAGAGUGAGAGAGAGCGAGAGCGAGAGAGAGAGAGUUUUAGUGUAAGAUGAACUUCUCAAAUCUGGAACGUUUCUGUGUUUUUUGUUCUUUUUUUUUUCCCCUCCCAGAACAGUUCGAGCAUCUUAAACAUUUGCAGGCUGUCUAUGAAACGACAGGGGCGGGGUCGAAAACAGGAAGUAGCAAUAGGUGUAAAAGUCAACGGCGAGGCAAGGACGGUGCAGUUUUCAGUGUCGGAUGAUACCGCAUCGCGCUCGGCCAUGUUGGGGAAACUACUUCAAAACAUAGUUACACAUCACACGACGGAAAAUACGUUUGAAAGCCAUGCGGUGGUGGACAGGUUUAAUUAUUAUUAUUAUUAUUAUUAUUAUUAUUAUUAUUAUUAUUAUUAUUAUUAUCUCGCCCCACAUACUGUGUGCUGAAGAGUUUCACCCUUGCUUUGGGAGGAAACAUAAGGAACUAGGCUAAAACACACAAACUAAGGUACGACGCUGAAUCCCAGCCGAAGGAACGGCAUAGUCCAGCAAAGCAUCAAAACAGCAGCGGGUUUUUAACAAACAUUAUACCUGUCGCACAUUAAAGAUGCUAAUCGAGUCUCCUGCUGAGUCGCUAACUGCUAGUAAUCGGUCUGUACAGGAUUUCCCCUAAAGGAUUGUUUUUUUUAUUAUUAUUGUUACAGCAAAAAAAGCUCGAAUCGGCGAAAUCGCGACCGCACGAAAUUGUUCCGCACGCUUUUUCGCGGCGAUGUAUGUUGGUAAUCCAGAAGUUUUAGACGAACUCGUGUUCGCACGUGAAUCGGAUAGGGCUUUGUCGUGACGACGUUGCAUGACGCGUCUCCUCCCGAACCUCCGGGAAACCUGCGGUAAAUUCGAAAAAACGUUUCGUAUUUUUCCCGAAUUCCGCGGCGUUUGCGUGAUUUCGCGUCCCGAGAUGCCCGAGAGACGGAACUGUUUUAAUUUUAAUCCGUUUAUCAAUUACUAUUUCCACAUCCUUGUGCAGUAUUCAUUCCUUAAAAAAAAAAAAAAAAAAAAGAGUCUCAGUUAAAAAUAGUUCCUAUCAGUGACCAGAACGGAUCCGAGUGCGGUUCAGCGAGUACACUCGGGCGGUGUCGUUCGACCAGGAAGUACAUUAAAGAACUGGAGCGAGUUAUAAUUAAACCUACACAGUACAUCAAGAUAAUAAUAAAAUAAAAUAAAAAAUAGAUCCGGAAAAGUCAGUUGUGCGUUAUUUUUUUUCCCUUUCUCUGUGUAAUAUAGCACAGUCUGCUCGUCCUGGUGUCCAGGCUUCGGAUGCGAUCUCUCAUUCAGAGAUACGUCGCUGUCUGUGCUGCACGCUGCACGGCAAGUGUAGACGAUACUGCAGCUGAGAUCAGAACAGAAAUGAUUUUUAUUAGUUAAUCAGCCAGCGACUGCGUAUGAAAGCUCUGGGGGGAAAAAGGAAAUUCCUAACCCGAGACGUUACUGGAAGCUGUUCGCUCUUUACAAGCUACUACAUGGUUUAAAAAAGUUACGGUCCUGCCGGAAAAUUUAUAUCGCUUUAUGUGUGUGUGUGUGUGUGUGUGUGUGUGUGUGUAGCGACGCCGGGUCUCGGGUCACGUCUCCUCAGACACCUUCACGUCAUACAGGGUGUGAUGUAUAUACGAAGCAUCUUUAUUCAGAUAUUUAUUUAUUUUUUAAUUCCAGCUUGAUAUUGUCUCGUUCGGUUUAUUCUAGUAAAUAAAUACAAAUAAAAUAAGGUGUAGAAAUACUGUAAGUUUAAUAAUCUCACACUUAUUUUUAUAAUCUCAACGAGAGACUACAUUACUAUAUAUAUAUUUGCCUGUGUUCUCCUUAGUCAUUUAGAACUCUCGCCUGAUUGGUUAACGCCUCAGACUCAUUUGCAUAAAGAUGUAGUGGACACGUACCAUGACUUCCUGGAUUGAACGUCCUGCUUCCUGGUGCUGACAAUAAUAACAGUUACAGUAUCAGACGUCACACAUACAUACACACGCGUGUGCACACACACACACACACACACACACACUGCUUCAAUGUUUUUUACUCAAAACUAAUCCUAAAGCAGCAGGACAACAGGCUUUUCUGUACUCAGCGCGUGUCUGUGUGGGUCUGUAAUGUGUGUGUGUGUGUGUUUUGGCACACAUUUAAGUGUGUAUCUGUGUAUCUGUGUGUGUGUGUGUGUGUGUACGUGUCCGUAUCUAUGUAGAAUUCUCAUAGCUAAUCUUGCUGCCAUUGUCUUUAACCUCUUGCCGUCCGCAAACAGGCAGGACGUAAUGUCGGAGCGCCGCUAGGCCACGUUAACGCAAUGCUAAUUCUCAUUUCACAGGAAUAACCUUUGACCUUUCUCCGUUUCCAUUCCUCUUCUUUCCUUUGCCUCCACACACACACACACACACACACACACACACACACACACACACCCUCUUCAACACUCUUCUCUUUCCAGAUUUCUGACUAUCUCUUUCUUUCUUGCUUGCUCUCAAAAAACGCUAACACAUUAACUCUCUCACACACACACACACACACACACACACACACACACACACACACAUACAUACACACACCGUUACAUUUUCCUCUGUGCCUCAUUUUCCUCCUCAAGCCCACAUUCACUCUUACACUCACACACACACUUACACACACACACACACACACACACACACACACACGUGUACGCACCAUUAGCCAUUCUGCAUGGUGAAGGUGCGAUGUGGCGUACAGCACUCUGCCCCCUGCUGGCUGCUCACUCCACCUGCCAGGAACAGGUGCCACAUUCAAUUAGAGCAGCAGGCUCUCGGUGGGAGGGGCUGGACCAGGUUUACUCUGGGCUGCAGAGUAGUACACACACACACACACACACACACACACACACACAGCUCUCUACAACAGCUACAGUGAGUGUUUAUCACCAGAUGAGAUAACCCCACCCAUUUUUCAAUUGCUGAUUAAUGACUGUGGAGAUCCCGGUGCUGCAGGUACGACAGUGCAGUCUAAUGUCAAGUCUAAUGCCAAGUCAGUCAGUCACUUUUUCAAGCUGUUUUUUUUUUUCAUUCAGACUCUUACAACCUCUAUUUGUUGUUUUUUUGUGUGUCUAGAUCAUUAUAAGCUCAUUAGCUUUUCUACACCAUUAAAAUCUUGUUUGUUAGAAAGUUAAAAUGUUAUUAGGUUUUUUUGCUCUAGAGCAUUACAAUUGUGAAAGUUUUCCACAGCAGUAAAACUUCUUAAAAAUUCAUUGUGUUUUUAAUUAAACUUUUUUUUUUUUUUUUUUUUUUUUUUGCUUUAAG